rnacentral:rRNA from 1 species
GACGAACGCUGGCGGCGUGCUUAACACAUGCAAGUCGAACGAAGUGGCGAACGUGUGAGUAACGCGUAAUCCACCUGCACUUCAGAGGGGGACAACAGUUGGAAACGACUGCUAAUACCGCAUACUGUAUGAGGGGAUUGCGUCGGAUUAGCUAGUUGGAGGGGUAACGGCCCACAAAGGCGAUGAUCAGUAGCCGGUCUGAGAGGAGGAACGGCCAAAUUGGGAAUGAGACACGGCACAGACUCCUACGGGAGGCAGCAGUGGGGAAUCUUCCGCAAUGGACGAAAGUCUGACGGAGCAACGCCGCGUGAGUGAUGACGGCCUUCGGGUUGUAAAGCUCUGUUAAUCGGGACGCGGUACCGGAAUAGAAAGCCACGGCUAACUACGUGCCAGCAGCCGCGGUAAUUC